rnacentral:rRNA from 1 species
UCGAACGGUAACAUUUCUAGCUUGCUAGAAGAUGACGAGUGGCGGACGGGUGAGUAAUGCUUGGGAACUUGCCUUUGCGAGGGGGAUAACAGUUGGAAACGACUGCUAAUACCGCAUAAUGUCUUUGGACCAAACGGGGCUUCGGCUCCGGCGCAAAGAGAGGCCCAAGUGAGAUUAGCUAGUUGGUAAGGUAACGGCUUACCAAGGCGACGAUCUCUAGCUGUUCUGAGAGGAAGAUCAGCCACACUGGGACUGAGACACGGCCCAGACUCCUACGGGAGGCAGCAGUGGGGAAUAUUGCACAAUGGGGGAAACCCUGAUGCAGCCAUGCCGCGUGUGUGAAGAAGGCCUUCGGGUUGUAAAGCACUUUCAGUUGUGAGGAAAAGUUAGUAGUUAAUACCUGCUAGCCGUGACGUUAACAACAGAAGAAGCACCGGCUAACUCCGUGCCAGCAGCCGCGGUAAUACGGAGGGUGCGAGCGUUAAUCGGAAUUACUGGGCGUAAAGCGCACGCAGGCGGUUUGUUAAGCUAGAUGUGAAAGCCCCGGGCUCAACCUGGGAUGGUCAUUUAGAACUGGCAGACUAGAGUCUUGGAGAGGGGAGUGGAAUUCCAGGUGUAGCGGUGAAAUGCGUAGAUAUCUGGAGGAACAUCAGUGGCGAAGGCGACUCCCUGGCCAAAGACUGACGCUCAUGUGCGAAAGUGUGGGUAGCGAACAGGAUUAGAUACCCUGGUAGUCCACACCGUAAACGCUGUCUACUAGCUGUGUGUGCCUUUAAGGCGUGCGUAGCGAAGCUAACGCGCUAAGUAGACCGCCUGGGGAGUACGGCCGCAAGGUUAAAACUCAAAUGAAUUGACGGGGGCCCGCACAAGCGGUGGAGCAUGUGGUUUAAUUCGAUGCAACGCGAAGAACCUUACCUACACUUGACAUGCUGAGAAGUUACUAGAGAUAGUUUCGUGCCUUCGGGAACUCAGAC